rnacentral:rRNA from 1 species
GACGAACGCUGGCGGCGUGCUUAACACAUGCAAGUCGAACGGAAAGGCCUGCUUUCCCUUGUGGAUUGCGGGUACUCGAGUGGCGAACGGGUGAGUAACACGUGAGUGAUCUGCCCCCAACUUGGGUAUAAGCCUGGGAAACUGGGUCUAAUUCCCGAUAGGACUGCAGGGUGGUGCCUGUGGUGGAAAACGAUUUUCUAGUGGUUGGGGAUGAGCUCGCGGCCUAUCAGCUUGUUGGUGGGGUAAUGGCCUACCAAGGCGGCGACGGGUAGCCGGCCUGAGAGGGUGGACGGCCACAUUGGGACUGAGAUACGGCCCAGACGCCUACGGGAGGCAGCAGUGGGGAAGAUGGCACAAUGGGCGGAAGCCUGAUGCAGCGACGCCGCGUGGGGGAUGACGGCCUUCGGGUUGUAAACUCCUUUCGACCGCGAGGAAGCCACCUGGUUGGAAGGGUGGUGACGGUAGUGGUAGAAGAAGCACCGGCUAACUACGUG